GACGAACGCUGGCGGCGUGCUUAACACAUGCAAGUCGAACGCUGAACCCGCUUCGGUGGGGGAUGAGUGGCGAACGGGUGAGUAACACGUGGGCAACCUGCCCCCGGCUCUGGGAUAACUCCAAGAAAUUGGGGCUAAUACCGGAUGUGACCGCUGGCCGCAUGGUCUGGUGGUGGAAAGGGUUUCCGGCUGGGGAUGGGCCCGCGGCCUAUCAGCUUGUUGGUGGGGUAGUGGCCUACCAAGGCGACGACGGGUAGCCGGCCGGGGGGGGUGACCGGCCAAACUGGGAAUGAGACACGGCCCAGACUCCUACGGGAGGCAGAAGUGGGGAAUAUUGAGCAAUGGGCGGAAGCCUGACGCAGCGACGCCGCGUGGGGGAUGACGGCCUUCGGGUUGUAAACCUCUUUCAGCAGGGACGAAGCGCAAGUGACGGUACCUGCAGAAGAAGCACCGGCCAACUACGUG
rnacentral:rRNA from 1 species